rnacentral:lncRNA from 1 species
UUUCUUUUUGUUUGCUGCCUUCCGUAGAAGAUGUGGCUUGCUCAUGCUUGACUUCUGCCAUGGUUGUGAGGCCUCCCCAGCCAUGUGGAACUGUUUUCAGGUGCUGGUUCCAUGGCUCUUCCUGAGCCGAAAAUAAGGAAACUCCAUAGACCUUGUCCACUGGAACUCGUUCCCAUCUACCCUCCACUCUAUCCAGGGUGAUGGAUCUCUGCAGUAAGUGGAAGAGUUCUUCAUGGCCCCCAAGGUUAUAUCCAUCUAGAACUUCAGCACGUAAUUUCAUCUGGAAAUAGUGCCUUUGCGGAUAUAAGUUAGGUAAAACUGAAGAUGAGAUCAUACUGGAUUAGGAUGGGAUCUAAAUCCAAUGAAAAUGUCUUCAUAAAAAACAGGAAAGAACCCAUAGAAACACAAGGAAGAAGGUCAUGUGAAGAUGGAGGCAGAGAUUGGAGGGAUGCAGCCACCGGCCCAGGAAUGCCAGCAGCCACCCAGAAGCUGGAAGGAAAUGAGGGAUUCUCUCCUAGAACCUUUAGAGAGAACAUGGUCCUGUGAACAGCUUGAUUUUGGACUUGCCCAUAGCUUGUAUACUCUUACUUUGGAUACAAUUUUAUCCAAACUUGGCUAAACAGUUUCUCAGCCUAUGGAAAAUUUAAAAUGGAGAAGAUUCAACUCGAUUCUUACAGAUUCAAAGCAAGAAAAUGAUGGGAACAUAGGAGGAGACCAAGAAAGCCUAUAAAAAGCAAAAAUAUGAAGUGAACAUUGUGGUAGCUUUAAGAUGUUUAGUGUAGCUGCAGGCACCCUAUACACAUGAAAACCCCCAAGGGGAAUCCCCAUAUCACAGUGUAGUGUGAUAUUUGACAUUCGUGAUCAUCUAGAGAUGUACAGAAAAGGUGAAUCUGUGUUCUGUAUAUUCUGCCUAAGGCAAAGAAAUGUUUAGCUCUCUUUAAAAUAGUUCCAUAAUUUUUUCUAAAAAGCUUUGCUUGAAAACUGUAAGCUUCCCAUAUCUGGAGCAUUUCACUUUAAAUAUUUGGAUAAAUAUGUUAUCUUCUUACUUGGACAUUUCAUGUGUUUAGGGAUUGUCUUCUAAAUUCUUCCUAAUUCAUAUAGCUGCUAACACUUCCCGCAGAGCUAAACCAUUACAGAUAUGAAAUAAAGACCUAUUGAUUUGACUUACUUUUACUUGUAAAACCUUCUGAGUGUUAUAACCUCAUUUAAUCUUUCAGCAUUUACAGUUUCAAGAGUUUGUGUCACAAUUAGAAGAAUUCAGCUGCACCUCCAAGUGACAGCAGUUGCUCUGGUUGGUGGGUGAUCUCAGGAGGCUUGAGAAUUGCUUUGUCUGUGAGGGAAGUAAGACAUUUUCAGAGCCCCACUUUAGAAGGUGUGAACUGGCUAGAUAAUGAACCCCAGGGCUAACGCUGCUAUAGCAGUGGGAAGGAGGUGAUGGGUUUUCAGUUUGGACCUCAAACAUCAAUACCCUCCUGGUACGGGGAGGAACAGAGUCCCUCCUUUACUUCUCCAUUAGAAAGAAUGAGAUGGCAAGACAAUGAAACAGGCAAAGUGAACAGAGAUGCAAGACAAAAUUCAGGUGAGAGAGCCAGAGCAUCACUCAGCCAUUCCUGACAUGUAAAACAGGCAACUAGAAAUUUGCAGAAAGGAAGCGAAGUCUCCAUAAAGAUGUUUUUAAAGUGAGCUUGAAGUAUUUGGAGACAAUUCAGUGUUACAUAAAAUCUGCAAAUCUCUGGAUAAAGAAGCAGAGAUCCCAGCAUGGGACAAAUGGAGCCUCAAAAGUGGGAAGAAGACAGAGAAGACCAGGGCAGAAUGCAUCUCUUCCUUUCUCUUGGCUUUCCUGGAUAAGGACUGCAUCAUUCCUGUGGAAGGACAGGCCAUCAGCUCCGAAACACUGUAUGUAUUUUCCAGUAUAUACUGCUAGCUGUGUGAUGUUGGGAAAAUUUGUUACCCUGUCUAACCCCCACUUCCCUCAUCUGUAAAAUGGAAAUAAUGAUAGUACCUACCUAUCUCAUAGGUGGCAACUACAAGGGGCAGCACACUCAGGGAAUUAAGGAAGUUUCAGUGAACAUCAACUUUAUGAACACAGUGUUCAUAAAGGCAGGUCAGUGCAGUGGUUUGGGAGCCAGGAGAAGCACGUGGGCCGGAGUGUGCCUGCAGGAGACAAGGUCAGAGAUGUUGCUAAUAAUGGAGAAUAAAGGAUGCAUUCUCAUUACUGAAAAAAAAAAA